UGCCAGCCGCCGCGGUAAGACGGAGGGUGCAAGCGUUACUCGGAAUUACUGGGCGUAAAGGGUCCGUAGGCGGCUUGGAAAGUUGGAUGUGAAAUCCCACAGCUUAACUGUGGAACUGCGUCCAAAACUAUCAAGCUUGAGGAUGGUAGGGGACAGUGGAACUCAAGGUGGAGCGGUGAAAUGCGUUGAUAUCAGGAGGAACACCGGCGGCGAAGGCGACAGUCUGGCCUGCUUCUGACGCUGAGGUGCGAAAGCCAGGGGAGCAAACGGGAUUAGAUA
rnacentral:rRNA from 1 species